rnacentral:lncRNA from 1 species
GAAAAGUUGAAGUACUAUGUUAAUUUCAAUAUAAAAUAGUUAUAGAAAAGUUCUGUUUUGAAUACUGGUUUGAAAUUUUGAUAUUGAGAUAUGUAUUUCCAUUCUUAACAGGUUGGUUUGUGUGUCUGUGUCUAGGAGAAGAUUUAUAAUAUUCCUCUGUGGAUUUUGUUCUAUAAUUGUACAUAGAUUAUGCUUUUUAAAUAUCUAUAAAGAUAUUGGAAUUUUAAGCAUCAAAGAUAUUUCUGACAGUAGCCACUAAACACUGAAUGAUGCUGCUGCUUAUUGAGAUAUUCUAAGAGCAAUGGAAUUCACAGAAAUAAUAAUUAAAAAACUGUGAAAUUUGUCUGCAACCACAAAUUACACUGAACAGCCAAAACAAUCUUGAUCAAGAAGAACCUAGAGUCAUCGCAUUAUAUAAAUUUUAAAAAUAUGUUACAAAGCUGUAGUGCCCAAAACAACACAGUAAAGCAUGGAAGGGGAUGGACAGACCAGUAGAACAGAGCAGGCCGCCCAGAAGCCGUUCCAGACGUGCAGCCAACUGAUUUGCACUGAAUGUGUCAAAAACACACAAUGGGAGAGGACAGUCUUUCCAACAAAUGAUGUUGGGAAAACUGGACACCCACAGGUGAAUGAUAUUAGAUCCCUCUCUCACCAGCUACAAAAAUCAACUCAAGAUGGAUUAAAGCUAUAAACACAAGGCCAGAAACUAUGAAACUAUUAGAAGGAAACAUGGGAGAGAAGCCCGGCAUUGGUCUGGGCUACGAUUAUUUUGGAUGAUCCAAAAGCACUCAUAACAAAAGCAAAAAUAACAAAUGAGUUUGCAUGAAGCUAGAAAGCUUCAGUACAGCAAAGGAAACAAUCAAUGAAGAAAAGAGACACCCUACAGAAUGGCAAAAAAGCACUUGUGAGCUAUGUAUCUGGCAUCUUUAUACACUUUAAUAUCCAGAGCAUGCAAGGAACUCAGCAGCCAUAGAAUAAGAAUAAGAGGAACAUGAAGAUCUUUUUCCAAAGAGGAGACACAAAUGGCCACAGGUAUGUGAGAUAAUGGUCCACAUCACAAAUCAUCAGGAAAAUGCAAUUAAAAAUCACGAGGAGGAGAUAGCACCUUUUACCUGUUAGGAUAUUACUGAAAAGGCAAAAGAUAACAAGUGUUGGUGAGGAUGUGGAGAAAGGGGAGCCCUUGAACACCAUUGGUGGGAGCAUGGAUUAGUACAGUCAUUAUGGAAAACAGCAUGGAGGUCCUGCAAAAAUUAAAAGUAGAACUAUCAUACAAUCCAGCACUCCCACCGCUGGGUAUAUAUUUAAAGGAAAUGAAGUAUGUUAAAGAGAGAUGUGUGCUCCUGUGUUGAUUGCAGCAUUAUUCACAAGAGCUAAUAUAUGCAGUCCACUUAAGUAUCCAUUAUUAGAUCAAUGGAUAAAGAAAAUGUAGGACCCUGGAAGGUACUGCAAUAGAACACUGUUCAUCCUUAAGAAGGAAGGAAAUCCUGUUGUUUGUGACAACACAGAUAAGCCAGGAGGACAUUAUGCUAAGAAAAAUAAGCCAGGAACAGAAAGACAAAUACCAUGUGAUCUCACUCAUGAGCAAAAUCUAGUGAAGUUGGUCUCACAGAAGCAGAGAGCAGAAUGGGUUACCAAGGGUUGGGGUGGUUGGCGUUGUGUUUGGGGAGAAGCUUGACAAAGAGUACAAAAUUUAAGUUAAAAAGAAUGAGUUCAAGAACUCUAUUGUUCAACAUGGUGACUAUAGUCAUGACAAUAUAUUGCAUUCUUGAAAAUGCAGGGUGGAUGUAAUGUUCUCAUCCCCAAAUCGUGUGUGAGGCGAUAUCCAUGUUUAUUUGCUGAACUUCGUCACUUUGCACGUGAACUUCAAGACUUCAAGUUGUACUUGAUAGAAUUCAUAUGAUUUUAUCUGCCAAUUUUGAAAAUAAAGGCAGCAGAUACACU